rnacentral:lncRNA from 1 species
GUGUGUAUACCUGAGUAUACCUCUCCCUGUAUAUCUCAGAGUACCUCAUUAUCUGUGUGUGUGUGUGUAUACCUGAGUAUUCCUCUCCCUGUAUAUCUCAGAGUACCUCAUUAUCUCAGCUGAGAUGCAGGGGUCGUUUCUACAGGCGCGUUGUGAUGAACCCCUCAUGACAACAGACUGGGGUUUGCCCCUCCUCCUGUCUCUCAUCGUCCUGGGGCUGCUCUACGCCUUCCUCUACCUCCCUUCCGUGGCACAACGAGCCCUGCUGGAGCAGGCCCUCAACAACCAGACUGGACUACCUUCCUCUACCUCCUCACCAUGAUACAGAGAGGAGCAGGUCCUCAACAACCUUCCUCUACCUCCUCACCAUGACACAGAGAGGAGCAGGUCCUACCUUCCUCUACCUCCUCACCAUGAUACAGAGAGGAGCAGGCCCUCAACAACCUUCCUCUACCUCCUCACCAUGAUACAGAGAGGAGCAGGCCCUCAACAACCUUCCUCUACCUCCUCACCAUGACACAGAGAGGAGCAGGUCCUCAACAAUCUUCCUCUACCUCCUCACCAUGACACAGAGAGGAGCAGGCCCUACCUUCCUCUACCUCCUCACCAUGAUACAGAGAGGAGCAGGUCCUACCUUCCUCUACCUCCUCACCAUGACACAGAGAGGAGCAGG